rnacentral:rRNA from 1 species
AACGAACGCUGGCGGCAGGCUUAACACAUGCAAGUCGAACGCAUCCUUCGGGGUGAGUGGCAGACGGGUGAGUAACGCGUGGGAACGUGCCCUUCAGUUCGGGAUAACCCAGGGAAACUUGGGCUAAUACCGGAUACGUGCGAGAGCAGAAAGAUUUAUCGCUGAAGGAUCGGCCCGCGUCUGAUUAGCUAGUUGGUGGGGUAAUGGCCCACCAAGGCGACGAUCAGUAGCUGGUCUGAGAGGAUGAUCAGCCACGUUGGGACUGAGACACGGCCCAAACUCCUACGGGAGGCAGCAGUGGGGAAUAUUGGACAAUGGGCGCAAGCCUGAUCCAGCCAUGCCGCGUGAGUGAUGAAGGCCUUAGGGUUGUAAAGCUCUUUCGUCCGGGACGAUAAUGACGGUACCGGAAGAGGAAGCCCCGGCUAACUUCGUGCCAGCCGCCGCAGUAA